UCGACCGCCUGGGGAGUACGGCCGCAAGGUUAAAACUCAAAUGAAUUGACGGGGGCCCGCACAAGCGGUGGAGCAUGUGGUUUAAUUCGAUGCAACGCGAAGAACCUUACCUGGUCUUGACAUCCACAGAACUUGCCAGAGAUGGCUUGGUGCCUUCGGGAACUGUGAGACAGGUGCUGCAUGGCUGUCGUCAGCUCGUGUUGUGAAAUGUUGGGUUAAGUCCCGCAACGAGCGCAACCCUUAUCCUUUGUUGCCAGCGGUUAGGCCGGGAACUCAAAGGAGACUGCCAGUGAUAAACUGGAGGAAGGUGGGGAUGACGUCAAGUCAUCAUGGCCCUUACGACCAGGGCUACACACGUGCUACAAUGGCGCAUACAAAGAGAAGCGACCUCGCGAGAGCAAGCGGACCUCAUAAAGUGCGUCGUAGUCCGGAUUGGAGUCUGCAACUCGACUCCAUGAAGUCGGAAUCGCUAGUAAUCGUAGAUCAGAAUGCUACGGUGAAUACGUUCCCGGGCCUUGUACACACCGCCCGUCACACCAUGGGAGUGGGUUGCAAAAGAAGUAGGUAGCUUAACCUUCGGGAGGGCGCUUACCACUUUGUGAUUCAUGACUGGGGUGAAGUCGUAACAAGGUAACCGUAGGGGAACCUGCGGUUGGAUCACCUCCUUACCUUAAAGAA
rnacentral:rRNA from 1 species